rnacentral:rRNA from 1 species
UGGCGAACGGGUGAGUAAUAUAUCGGAACGUGCCCAGUCGUGGGGGAUAACGUAGAGAAAUUUACGCUAAUACCGCAUGAGAUCUAAGGAUGAAAGCGGGGGACUUCGCAAGAAGCCUCGCGCGACUGGAGCGGCUGAUAUCAGAUUAGGUUGUUGGUGAGGUAAAAGCUCACCAAGCCGACGAUCUGUAGCUGGUUUGAGAGAACGACCAGCCACACUGGGACUGAGACACGGCCCAGACUCCUACGGGAGGCAGCAGUGGGGAAUUUUGGACAAUGGGGGAAACCCUGAUCCAGCAAUGCCGCGUGCAGGAAGAAGGCCUUCGGGUUGUAAACUGCUUUUGUACGGAACGAAAAGGUUUGUCCUAAUACGGCGAGCCCAUGACGGUACCGUAAGAAUAAGCACCGGCUAACUACGUGCCAGCAGCCGCGGUAAUACGUAGGGUGCGAGCGUUAAUCGGAAUUACUGGGCGUAAAGCGUGCGCAGGCGGUGAUGCAAGACAGUUGUGAAAUCCCUGGGCUCAACCUGGGAAUUGCAUCUGUGA